UGUACAAAAUUUCCCCCUAAGACAAAUACUAGGCAUCGGCCCCGAUAGACAAAAUAUAGUAACACCGUGCAUGCACCUUGGAUUGCAGGUGACCUCUAUAAUUUAAUUAAAAAAUUCCCAAAAAUCAGGGAAGACCCA